rnacentral:snRNA from 1 species
AUACUUACCUGGCAGGGGAGAUACCAUGAUCACAAAGGUGGUUUUCCCAGGGCGAGGCUUAUCCAUUGCACUCCAGGUGUGCUGACCCCUGUGAAUUCCCCAAAUGUGGGAAACUCAAAUGCACAAUUUGUGGUAGUGGGGGACUGCAUUCGUACUCUCCUCUG